GUAAAAAAGGUUCCAAUCAUCAGGAAAUCGUGCAUAGCCUGAGAUUGCUAUAUAAUCGUUAUCUGCAAUGGAGAUUUGCCAAUGCAAAAGCAGAAUCCUCAUUGAAAGCUCAGCAAGGAGAAAGUGAGAAAGCACUUUAUUCUCUGGCAUUGAAAAUGUCAGAGUUACGUGAUUCUGUGAACUUGAAACGCUUAGAAGUGCAGCUUUUGCAGAGAGCAAAGACUUUGUUAACAAUUCUUGAAGCUCAAAUCCCUCAUUUGGAUGAGUGGUCCUCUUUAGAAGUAGAGUAUUCUAUCUCCUUGACUGAAGCAAUCGAGGCAUUGUUGAAUGCCUCAGUGCAACUUCCAGUAGGUGGGAAUGUGAAGG